UCAUUACAGAGUUGCAAAACUCCAAACCCUUUGUGAACUUACCUAUAACGUUGCUUCGGUAGGCAGCCCCAGGGCGGGGCUAUGGCCUUUAUGGUGCCUGCCGGAGGUAUUUUUAAACACUAUUUUUUAUUGCUACACUUCUGAGUAAAAAAUAAAUAAGUCAAAACUUUCAGCAACGGAUCUCUUGGUUCUGGCAUCGAUGAAGAACGCAGCGAAAUGCGAUAAGUAAUGUGAAUUGCAGAAUUCAGUGAAUCAUCGAAUCUUUGAACGCACAUUGCGCCCACUAGUAUUCUGGUGGGCAUGCCUGUUCGAGCGUCAUUUCAACCCUCAAGCACUGCUUGGUGUUGGGGCACUGCCAUGCUGGCAGGCCCUGAAAUAUAGUGGCGGGUCUGCUGUAAUCCCGAACGUAGUAACAUACCUCGUUUAGGGCGUUAUAGUGGGCGCUGCCGUUAAACCCCCACUUAUCAAGGUUGACCUCGGAUCAGGUAGGAAUACCCGCUGAACUUAAGCAUAUCAAUAAGCGGAGGAAAAGAAACCAACAGGGAUUGCCCUAGUAACGGCGAGUGAAGCGGCAACAGCUCAAAUUUGAAAUCUGGCUUCGGCCCGAGUUGUAAUUUGCAGAGGAAGCUUUUGGCGCGGUGCCUUCUGAGUUCCCUGGAACGGGACGCCAUAGAGGGUGAGAGCCCCGUAUAGUUGGACACUAAGCCUUUGUAAAGCUCCUUCGACGAGUCGAGUAGUUUGGGAAUGCUGCUCAAAAUGGGAGGUAAAUUUCUUCUAAAGCUAAAUACCGGCCAGAGACCGAUAGCGCACAAGUAGAGUGAUCGAAAGAUGAAAAGCACUUUGAAAAGAGGGUGAAAUAGUACGUGAAAUUGCUGAAAGGGAAGCGCCUAUGACCAGACUUGUGCCUGGUGGAUCACCUAGCGUUCUCGCUGGGGUACUCUGCCUGGUUCAGGCCAGCAUCGGUUUUCCUAGGGGGAUAAAAGCUUUGGGAACGUAGCUCUUCGGAGUGUUAUAGCCCUUUGCAUAAUACCCCUUGGGGGGACCGAGGU
rnacentral:rRNA from 1 species